rnacentral:rRNA from 1 species
UAUACAUUACCUAUAUAGGAGCGAACGAGGGGAAUUGAAACAUCUUAGUACCCUCAGGAAAAGAAAUCAAUAGAGAUUGCGUCAGUAGCGGCGAGCGAAAGCGCAAGAGGGCAAACCCAGUGCUUGCACUGGGGGUUGUAGGACUGCAAUGUGCAAGAGCUGAGUUUAGCAGAACAUUCUGGAAAGUAUAGCCAUAGAGGGUGAUAGUCCCGUAUGCGAAAAACAAAGCUUAGCUAGCAGUAUCCUGAGUAGGGCGGGACACGAGGAAUCCUGUCUGAAUCCGGGUCGACCACGAUCCAACCCUAAAUACUAAUACCAGAUCGAUAGUGCACAAGUACCGUGAGGGAAAGGUGAAAAGAACUGAGGUGAUCAGAGUGAAAUAGAACCUGAAACCAUUUGCUUACAAUCAUUCAGAGCACUAUGUAGCAAUACAGUGUGAUGGACUGCCUUUUGCAUAAUGAGCCUGCGAGUUGUGGUGUCUGGCAAGGUUAAGCAAACGCGAAGCCGUAGCGAAAGCGAGUCUGAAUAGGGCGCUUAGUCAGAUGCUGCAGACCCGAAACGAAGUGAUCUAUCCAUGAGCAAGUUGAAGCUAGUGUAAGAACUAGUGGAGGACUGAACCCAUAGGCGUUGAAAAGCCCCGGGAUGACUUGUGGAUAGGGGUGAAAGGCCAAUCAAACUUCGUGAUAGCUGGUUCUCUCCGAAAUAUAUUUAGGUAUAGCGUUGUGUCGUAAUAUAAGGGGGUAGAGCACUGAAUGGGCUAGGGCAUACACCAAUGUACCAAACCCUAUCAAACUCCGAAUACCUUAUAUGUAAUCACAGCAGUCAGGCGGCGAGUGAUAAAAUCCGUCGUCAAGAGGGAAACAACCCAGACUACCAGCUAAGGUCCCUAAAUCUUACUUAAGUGGAAAACGAUGUGAAGUUACUUAAACAACCAGGAGGUUGGCUUAGAAGCAGCCAUCCUUUAAAGAAAGCGUAAUAGCUCACUGGUCUAGUGAUUUUGCGCGGAAAAUAUAACGGGGCUAAAGUAAGUACCGAAGCUGUAGACUUGCACACAACUUAGAUUAUUUAAGUUUAGAAUAUGAGAAACUAAGUUAUAUGUUUAGUUAUAUUUUUACUGAUUUUUAUAGAGUAAAGAUAGAAAUAAAACUUAGUAAAAUCAGUAAAAAUAUUCUUAGGCUAAAGUUAAGUAGUUUAAGUUGUGUGCAAGUGGUAGGAGAGCGUUCUAUUUGCGUCGAAGGUAUACCGGUAAGGAGUGCUGGAGCGAAUAGAAGUGAGCAUGCAGGCAUGAGUAGCGAUAAUUAAUGUGAGAAUCAUUAACGCCGUAAACCCAAGGUUUCCUACGCGAUGCUCGUCAUCGUAGGGUUAGUCGGGUCCUAAGUCGAGUCCGAAAGGGGUAGACGAUGGCAAAUUGGUUAAUAUUCCAAUACCAACAUUAGUGUGCGAUGGAAGGACGCUUAGGGCUAAGGGGGCUAGCGGAUGGAAGUGCUAGUCUAAGGUUGUAGGAGGUUAUACAGGCAAAUCCGUAUAACAAUACUCCGAGAACUGAAAGGCUUUUUGAAGUCUUCGGAUGGAUAGAAGAACCCCUGAUGCCGUCGAGCCAAGAAAAGUUUCUAAGUUUAGCUAAUGUUGCCCGUACCGUAAACCGACACAGGUGGGUGGGAUGAGUAUUCUAAGGCGCGUGGAAGAACUCUCUUUAAGGAACUCUGCAAAAUAGCACCGUAUCUUCGGUAUAAGGUGUGGUUAGCUUCGUACUAGGAUUUACUCCGAAAGCGAAGAAACUUACAACAAAGAGUCCCUCCCGACUGUUUACCAAAAACACAGCACUCUGCUAACUCGUAAGAGGAUGUAUAGGGUGUGACGCCUGCCCGGUGCUCGAAGGUUAAUUGAUGGGGUUAGCAUUAGCGAAGCUCUUGAUCGAAGCCCGAGUAAACGGCGGCCGUAACUAUAACGGUCCUAAGGUAGCGAAAUUCCUUGUCGGUUAAAUACCGACCUGCAUGAAUGGCGUAACGAGAUGGGAGCUGUCUCAAAGAGGGAUCCAGUGAAAUUGUAGUGGAGGUGAAAAUUCCUCCUACCCGCGGCAAGACGGAAAGACCCCGUGGACCUUUACUACAGCUUGACACUGCUACUUGGAUAAGAAUGUGCAGGAUAGGUGGGAGGCUUUGAGUAUAUGACGCCAGUUGUAUAUGAGCCAUUGUUGAGAUACCACUCUUUCUUAUUUGGGUAGCUAACCAGCUUGAGUUAUCCUCAAGUGGGACAAUGUCUGGUGGGUAGUUUGACUGGGGCGGUCGCCUCCCAAAUAAUAACGGAGGCUUACAAAGGUUGGCUCAGAACGGUUGGAAAUCGUUCGUAGAGUAUAAAGGUAUAAGCCAGCUUAACUGCAAGACAUACAAGUCAAGCAGAGACGAAAGUCGGUCUUAGUGAUCCGGUGGUUCUGUGUGGAAGGGCCAUCGCUCAAAGGAUAAAAGGUACCCCGGGGAUAACAGGCUGAUCUCCCCCAAGAGCUCACAUCGACGGGGAGGUUUGGCACCUCGAUGUCGGCUCAUCGCAUCCUGGGGCUGGAGCAGGUCCCAAGGGUAUGGCUGUUCGCCAUUUAAAGCGGUACGCGAGCUGGGUUCAGAACGUCGUGAGACAGUUCGGUCCCUAUCUGCCGUGGGCGUAAGAAGAUUGAAGAGAUUUGACCCUAGUACGAGAGGACCGGGUUGAACAAACCACUGGUGUAGCUGUUGUUCUGCCAAGAGCAUCGCAGCGUAGCUAAGUUUGGAAAGGAUAAACGCUGAAAGCAUCUAAGCGUGAAGCCAACUCUAAGAUGAAUCUUCUCUAAGCUCUCUAGAAGACUACUAGUUUGAUAGGCUGGGUGUGUAAUGGAUGAAAGUCCUUUAGCUGACCAGUACUAAUAGAGCGUUUGGCUUAUCUUU